CAGGGAGGCCACUUCUGCAACGACUUUUCCGAAAAUAUAACCGAACAUCCAUGUGACCCACAGCAGUUUCCAAGAAAGAUGGCGUCCGCAGAAGUGUGCCGACUCCCGUCUGCUGCUUCUCGGCUCUCUGGUGACUGUCAGCUGCUCAGUAGGCAGUGUAGAUCCUGUGUAGCAAUCAGCAGCUACAUCUGGCUACUGGGUCUCUGACGGCUCCGCCCACUUCCCGGUCCAAAGUUCUUCCUCUGUCGGCCCGUGGCGCGUUCCCACUCCACCACCGGCUGUGAUUUUGGGGGGCCCGUUCAGUGACGGGAUGCUGUCGGUGUCACAACUCCACCAGGGCCCAUCAUCACAUUUGUUCUUCUUCCUGUUUUGUCAAUGUCAUUUGGCAUCUCUGAGUUUCUGACUUCUGAUUGAAUUCCGUCUACUUUGAUUAAGCUACAAAUGGGCACAUUUCAUAAAAAUGGUGUUGGCGGAUGCCCAAGAAGCCACACUAGGGAGAUAUUUGCUUUGUCCUGAACCUGGCAUACAAUGUAGAUUCCUGUGUGGUUCAAUUCUACAGCUACAUUGUCUGCUGGGUUUCUGGCUAGCAAUAUAAGCUUCUGUGACAUGAAGGUCACCUUUGCUCCAUAAGGUAAGAAUCUAUCUUCUGUGCUGCCAAAAAGUAUUUGGCCCUGUUAAGAUUUAUUCUGCUUUUGUUGUUUUGUGACAUUUAAGUGUUUCAGAUUGUCCAACAAAUGUUAAAGUGGCAGUGUUAUGCGUUUUCCAGGCAUAUAAUGGCAAAGCAACUAUGUUACCUUUAGUUGUUAUAAAAAUGCUGCAUAUAUCAAAUAUGACUUAAAAGAAAUUUGACUUCGCAGUUGAACACUUUAAAAUUGGGCCUGUGUCUCUUUAAGAAGCCCCUACUCGUUCUGAUCCUCCACCUUCAGGAAGUCAUCACAACAUGGCUCCUAUAUUAACCCUUUAACAACAUUUUUAAAAGUGUUGCACUGAGAAGUAACUUGUAAUAAGCUUAGUAGAUGUGCAGCUCCACCAGGUGUUUGCUAACUGCUGCUGCUGCUAGUCUGAAGGAGCCGUCGAAGGCGGCAGUUCCACAAACCCGGAAAGAAAAAUCUGUCUAGACCUCGACAAACUGAGCUGAGUGGUUAAGGGUUCCAGCAACAACAAACUUUGACUAACUGGAAGACAAAUGCUUCUCAAAUAUUCUGUGGCCUGAUGAGACAAGAGUCACAUCUUUUUCAAUGCGUGUCCUUCGCCUAGCUUACAGCGAUCUAUCAUGGCAUUUCAGAAAAACCACACAAUGCCUGCAGUCAGACAUGUGAUGGUCACAGGAAGCCCAUCAGGACGUCCAGCCGUAAAUGGCUAAAAAAUAAAACCAGAGAAAACGAAGGGUUUGGAUUGGACUAGUCAAAGUCUCAUGCUGUUUGUUCUUUAACCCAACACCUCAAUUUAAAAUACUGAUUGCCAGUUAUGAUAAGUAUUAUGGGGUAAUUAUUUUCCAUAACCGUUUUCCCUUAACAGACGAAAUCAUCAUCUGAAAACUGCACUUUGUUUUUACUCGGGUUGUUUUGGUCUGAUAAUCAAAUCUGUUUUUCUUACCUGAAACAUUUAAGUGCAUUAAAAAAAAAGCAGCAUAAACAGAAGAUGUUUUCAUUGCACUGCAUCCUAUCACUGAAAUAUGUCUGACCCUGACGAUUCCAAUAAAGAGAAAAUAUUUCAAAUUAAACUCGCA